UACAGAGGGGGCAAGCGUUGUUCGGAAUUACUGGGCGUAAAGGGCGCGUAGGCGGCCUGUUAAGUCGAACGUGAAAUCCCCGGGCUCAACCCGGGAACUGCGUCCGAUACUGGCAGGCUUGAAUCCGGGAGAGGGAUGCGGAAUUCCCGGUGUAGCGGUGAAAUGCGCAGAUAUCGGGAAGAACACCCGUGGCGAAGGCGGCUCUCUGGAACGCAACUGACGCUGAGACGCGAAAGCGUGGGGAGCAAACAGG
rnacentral:rRNA from 1 species